rnacentral:misc_RNA from 1 species
GAUGAAGAACGCAGCGAAAUGCGAUAAGUAAUGUGAAUUGCAGAAUUCAGUGAAUCAUCGAAUCUUUGAACGCACAUUGCGCCCGCCAGUAUUCUGGCGGGCAUGCCUGUUCGAGCGUCAUUACAACCCUCAGGCCCCCGGGCCUGGCGUUGGGGAUCGGCGGAGCCCCCGUGGGCACACGCCGUCCCCCAAAUACAGUGGCGGUCCCGCCGCAGCUUCCAUCGCGUAGUAGCUAACACCUCGCGACUGGAGAGCGGCGCGGCCACGCCGUAAAACACCCAACUCUUCUGAAGUUGACCUCGAAUCAGGUAGGAAUACCCGCUGAACUUAAGCAUAUCAAUAAGCGGAGGA